GCCAUUAGUUUCACGGAGAUUCGAUUGAACUACCAUGAAAAAUAGGUAAAGUCACAUGAACAAGCAUGAAGAGGAGAGAAGUAACAAGUUCCACAAAUAAAUAAUGGAAUAUAAUAAUAAUUAUAUAAGGUGAAAUUUGCCUUUGGUUGCUGGUUGAGUGGUUGCCAUUAUUGGGGCACAUGCCAUCAACUCAUAGCUGCUACCUUAGUUUUAUUAUUUAUACCUUUUAAUGAAAACUCAUGUUUGAUGUAUAUAUAACAAAAACUUAAAAAUUGAAGUUGUAAUAAUUGAAUUUAAUAAGCAGCAUAAAUACAGGAGGCUGGCAUCCAAGCCAAUCAAAGACUAGAGAAAAAUCGAUCGUCCCAUUCCUUUUAUAUUCUUUUUGGGUCCAUGCUCACUUCAAUAUAUCUUACAUCUCAAGAUUAAAUUGAGAAUUUCUUAACAUGUAAUUUGCUUUUCUAUCAAUUACAUAGAGGCUACAUUGUAGAGAGAGAACUUAGUACCUAGAGGACAUCCUACAGACAAAUUUUCAUCUUUUAUUGAUUCUUUUUGGUCCCUCCGCUACACGAAAUUAUUGAAUUGUAUUUCAAUUUUUUGUAGGUCGUACUUCUAUGGACUAGUACCCUUAAGGUGGUCGUACUUCUUGGUUUUAUUCAUUUGGCAUGGACCAUUAAAGCAAAUAUAUGCUUAACCAUUCACUUCAAAAUCACUAACUAACGUGAAAGCCCAAACGCAGGGUGAUUUUAAAGUUCCUCAACUGUUCACCAGCUCAUUUUUCAUAUCUCAUCGCAUAGGAAAUGCUAAAAUUGAAGAAAUAUUGCAGAAACCUACCUAUAUCGUCUUUUUUAUAUCAAUUUUGAUUAGGAUCCAAUACCAUCCCUAUCAGGUCUUCAUUAGGUAGCCAUCCACCUGUCUUACAGUUCACAACAAACGUAAACUAUUGUUUAUCGAAAUUGCUAUCUAGAAUUGUACU
rnacentral:misc_RNA from 1 species